UGGCGGACGGGUGAGUAACACGUGGGUAACCUGCCCUAAAGUGGGGGAUAACAUUUGGAAACAGAUGCUAAUACCGCAUAAAACCUAACACCGCAUGGUGUAGGGUUGAAAGAUGGUUUCGGCUAUCACUUUAGGAUGGACCCGCGGUGCAUUAGUUAGUUGGUGAGGUAAAGGCUCACCAAGACCGUGAUGCAUAGCCGACCUGAGAGGGUAAUCGGCCACACUGGGACUGAGACACGGCCCAGACUCCUACGGGAGGCAGCAGUAGGGAAUCUUCCACAAUGGACGAAAGUCUGAUGGAGCAACGCCGCGUGAGUGAAGAAGGUUUUCGGAUCGUAAAACUCUGUUGUUGGAGAAGAAUGUAUCUGAUAGUAACUGAUCAGGUAGUGACGGUAUCCAACCAGAAAGCCACGGCUAACUACGUGCCAGCAGCCGCGGUAAUAC
rnacentral:rRNA from 1 species